UGGGGAAUUUUGGACAAUGGGUGAAAGCCUGAUCCAGCAAUGCCGCGUGUGUGAAGAAGGCCUUCGGGUUGUAAAGCACUUUUGUCCGGAAAGAAAUCCUUGGCUCUAAUACAGUCGGGGGAUGACGGUACCGGAAGAAUAAGCACCGGCUAACUACGUGCCAGCAGCCGCGGUAAUACGUAGGGUGCAAGCGUUAAUCGGAAUUACUGGGCGUAAAGCGUGCGCAGGCGGUUUGCUAAGACCGAUGUGAAAUCCCCGGGCUCAACCUGGGAACUGCAUUGGUGACUGGCAGGCUAGAGUAUGGCAGAGGGGGGUAGAAUUCCACGUGUAGCAGUGAAAUGCGUAGAGAUGUGGAGGAAUACCGAUGGCGAAGGCAGCCCCCUGGGCCAAUACUGACGCUCAUGCACGAAAGCGUGGGGAGCAAACAGGAUUAGAUACCCUGGUAGUCCACGCCCUAAACGAUGUCAACUAGUUGUUGGGGAUUCAUUUCCUUAGUAACGUAGCUAACGCGUGAAGUUGACCGCCUGGGAAGUACGAUCGCAAGAUUUAAAACUCAAAUGAAUUGACGGGGUCAUAGCUGUUUCCU
rnacentral:rRNA from 1 species